rnacentral:lncRNA from 1 species
GGGUUGGUGUCAGGCAGUUGUCUUCUUACACUGACUGCAAGAUGAUCCAAACAGUAAUCGUUCUUGUUUGCGCUGCCCUUCUCUUGGCAUUUGCGGGAGCCAAUCCUGUCGCCGAACCCGGUUUUGGUGGACACGGGGGAUUCGGACACGGUGGAUUCGGACAUGGUGGAUUCGGACAUGGUGGAUUCGGAGGCUUCGGGCACGGUGGAUUUGGAGGUUUUGGGCAUGGUGGAUAUGGUCGCUGAAACGCAACCUUAACUAUGAUUAAUGGAUUUGGAAAAUGACAAGGAAUAAAUAUUAUGCUGAAUAAAAAUAAUGAUUUUCACUUUA